rnacentral:rRNA from 1 species
GUACGAACGCGUGGCGCGUGCCUAAUACAUGCAAGUAGAACGCUGGAAGUCGUGGUAGGCUUGCACUAGACGGAUGGGUUGCGAACGGGUGAGUAACGCGUAGGUAACCUGCCUCAUAGCGGGGGAUAACUAUUGGAAACGAUAGCUAAUACCGCAUAACAGUAUUUACCGCAUGGUAGAUGCUUGAAAGGAGCAACUGCUUCACUAUGAGAUGGACCUGCGUUGUAUUAGCUAGUUGGUGAGGUAACGGCUCACCAAGGCUUCGAUACAUAGCCGACCUGAGAGGGUGAUCGGCCACACUGGGACUGAGACACGGCCCAG